GUAGUCCAUGCCUUAAACGAUGCAUACUAGGUGUAAGAGGGAUCAACCCCCCUUGUACCGGAGCUAACGCAUUAAGUAUGCCGCCUGGGGAGUACGCUCGCAAGGGUGAAACUCAAAAGAAUUGACGGGGGCCCGCACAAGCAGUGGAGCAUGUGGUUUAAUUCGAUGCAACGCGAAGAACCUUACCUGGGCUCGAAAUAUAGAGGACGACAUCAGAGAUGAUGUUUCUCGCAAGGGUCUUUAUAUAGGUGCUGCAUGGCUGUCGUCAGCUCGUGCCGUGAGGUGUUUGGUUAAGUCCAGCAACGAGCGCAACCCUUAUCGUUAGUUGCCAACACGUAAUGGUGGGAACUCUAACGAGACUGCCUGGGUUAACCAGGA
rnacentral:rRNA from 1 species